rnacentral:rRNA from 1 species
UACGGAGGAUGCAAGCGUUAUCCGGAAUGAUUGGGCGUAAAGCGUCCGUAGGUGGCAAUGUAAGUCUGCUGUUAAAGAGUCUAGCUCAACUAGAUAAAAGCAGUGGAAACUACAUAGCUAGAGUACGUUCGGGGCAGAGGGAUUCCUGGUGUAGCGGUGAAAUGCGUAGAGAUCAGGAAGAACACCAGUGGCGAAGGCGCUCUGCUAGGCCGUAACUGACACUGAGGGACGAAAGCUAGGGGAGCGAAUGGG